CCUUGUAAAUAUAAAAUAUUUGGUUUUGGUCUUUGGUAUUUUGUUUUAAUCUUUGUAAAAUCAUUUCAUAUUGAAAUUGGUCCUUAUAAUAUUCAUUUUAGUCUUCAUUUUGAGGGACUAAAAUCAAAUAUUCUAUAUACUACAAGGACUAAAUUCAAUAUGAAUCAAUUUUACAAGGACAAAAACAAAAUAUCAAGGACCAAAACCAAAUUUUUUAUAUUUGCAGGGA
rfam:Medicago truncatula strain A17 chromosome 2, whole genome shotgun sequence.